UUGACGGGGAGCACUACGAACGGGUGGAGCCUGCGGUUUAAUUGGACUCAACGCCGGAAAACUCACCGGGGGCGACAGCAAUAUGUAGGUCAAGCUAAAGACUUUACCAGAAUCGCUGAGAGGAGGUGCAUGGCCGUCGUCAGUUCGUACUGUGAAGCAUCCUGUUAAGUCAGGCAACGAGCGAGACCCGUGCCCACUGUUGCCAGCAUGUCCUUCGGGACGAUGGGUACUCUGUGGGACCGCCGAUGCUAAAUCGGAGGAAGGUGCGGGCUACGGUAGGUCAGUAUGCCCCGAAUCUCCCGGGCUACACGCGGGCUACAAUGACUGGGACAAUGGGCUCCUACCCCGAAAGGGGAUGGUAAUCUCAUAAACCCAGCCUUAGUUCGGAUCGAGGGCUGUAACCCGCCCUCGUGAAGCUGGAAUCCGUAGUAAUCGCGUUUCAACAUAGCGCGGUGAAUACGUCCCUGCUCCUU
rnacentral:rRNA from 1 species